CCCCUGAGUAAUCUGGUGGGCAACCAGAAUCAAAACUAGAUUCAAAAAGCUCGGAUGACGAACUACCACUACCACCCGCAAUAAAUAAUGUUGUUCGACUAGGAGGAUCAAUAGAAUCCAUAAGAGGGGUAUCAAAAUGCUGCCUAAUCUAUGUUCCUCAAGUUUAAUUUGAGCUUCUCGCAAUUCAUCACCACUUGGACCUUCCUCUAAAUCACCUUCUGCACUACAGCAUCCUUCAUCAGUUGAAGAACUAGUUGAACUAAAUCUUUUUCCUCCUCGAGUUGCAUCUUCCCUUGUUCUAGAAAUAAAUACGUAAACCAAAUUUAUCCAAAAUAUUCUAAUUAUUUGAUAAAAGUUACUGUAGUGACGAAUAAAUAUCAAUUACGAAAAUUUUUUUUAAUGAAAUCUUGUCCCUCCUAUUUUUGCUGCAUUGUUUUUAUUAAUAUUAAAAUAUAUAAAAAUAUGUAAAAAGCCACGAAUUAUAAUAGAAUUAUAACAAAAACUAUACAAUAUAUGGCGAUAUAAAAACAAAGUAAAUAUUUAAUAUUGGAAUAUGGAAUAACUCAAAAUAAGAGGAAAGCAAUGAAAUAAAAUGAAAGAAUUACCAAAAAUAAAGUGACAGCAAAGCACUUCCAAUCCAACCUGUCCUGAAAAUCUUCAAUACAUGCGUCACCGUCAAUAAAGAUCAACGUCCCACUAAGCUAUCGCUGUAAAUAAAAAUUGUACAAUUAACAUUUAAUUUUUUACAAAUUCUUUUGACGGGCAGGAUUGGAAGACAAGUAAAUCGUUAUUUUGAUAAAAAUUUUAUAAAUGAAAAUGAAAUUUAAACUAAUAUUAUUAAUAAAUAAAUAAUACAAAUAAUUGUAUUAAUUAAAUAAAUAUACCUUGACUUGAA